UACGGGAGGCAGCAGUGAGGAAUAUUGGACAAUGGCCGAGAGGCUGAUCCAGCCAUGCCGCGUGCAGGAUGACGGCCCUAUGGGUUGUAAACUGCUUUUAUACAGGGAUAAAGUAGGGAACGUGUUCCCUUUUGCAGGUACUGUAUGAAUAAGGACCGGCUAAUUCCGUGCCAGCAGCCGCGGUAAU
rnacentral:rRNA from 1 species